GGGAGCUUAGCUCAGUUGGUAGAGCGUCCGCUUCGCAUGCGGAAGGUCUAGGGUUCGAUUCCCUAAGUUUCCA